rnacentral:rRNA from 1 species
GAAACACGGACCAAGGAGUCUAGCAUGUGCGCGAGUCAUUGGGAUUAAUUAAACCUAAAGGCGCAAUGAAAGUAAAGGUUCGCCUCGCGCGAACCGAGGGAGGAUGGGUGUGUAAUAUAAACAUGCCCCGCACUCCCGGGGCGUCUCACUCUCAUAGCGAGAAGAGGCGCACCCAGAGCGUACACGCUGGGACCCGAAAGAUGGUGAACUAUGCUUGGUCAGGACGAAGUCAGGGGAAACCCUGAUGGAGGUCCGUAGCGAUUCUGACGUGCAAAUCGAUCGUCGGAACUGAGUAUAGGAGCGAAAGACUAAUCGAACCAUCUAGUAGCUGG